rnacentral:rRNA from 2 species
CAGGGAUUGCCUCAGUAACGGCGAGUGAAGCGGCAAAAGCUCAGAUUUUAAAUCCAGUGUCUUUGGGACAUUUGAGUUGUAAUCUGCAGAGAGGUGUUCCGAGCAGUAUCUUGGCUCAAGUUCCUUGGAACAGGAUGUCAUGGAGGGUGAGAAUCCCGUGAAUGGCCUUGAUCUUACUUGCUCAUUGUGAACCUUCUUCAGCGAGUCGAGUUGUUUGGGAAUGCAGCUCUAAAUGGGUGGUAAAUUUCAUCUAAAGCUAAAUACUGGCAGGAGACCGAUAGCGCACAAGUAGAGUGAUCGAAAGAUGAAAAGAACUUUGGAAAGAGAGUUAAAUAGUACGUGAAAUUGUUGAAAGGGAAGCACUUGCUCCCAGACUUGCCUGUGGCUGAUCAGCCUUCAUUCUUUGGAGGUGCACUCGGCUAUUUUGGGCAGGCCAGCAUCAGUUUAGACAGAGGGAAAAAGACUGGGGGAAUGUGACUUUCCUUGGAAAGUGUUAUAGCCUCUGGUGCAAUAUCUCUAGUCCUGGACUGAGGACCGCGCUGCAAAGUGAGGAUGCUGGCAUAAUGGUCGUAAGUGACCCGUCUUGAAACACGGACCAAGGAGUCUAACAGCUGUGCGAGUGUUUGGGUGCUUAAACCCUUGCGCGGAAUGAAAGUGAAUGGAGGUGGGAACUGUNACAAGUGCACCAUCGACCGAUCCUGAAGUCUUCUGAUGGAUUUGAGUAGGAGCAUAGCUGUUGGGACCCGAAAGAUGGUGAACUAUGCCUGAAUAGGGUGAAGCCAGAGGAAACUCUGGUGGAGGCUCGCAGCGGUUCUGACGUGCAAAUCGAUCGUCAAAUUUGGGUAUAGGGGCGAAAGACUAAUCGAACCAUCUAG